GGUGAAGUGUCCGAGAGGCUUAAGGAGCACGCCUGGAAAGUGUGUAUACGAAAACGUAUCAAGGGUUCGAAUCCCUUCUUCACCA
rnacentral:tRNA from 1 species